rnacentral:rRNA from 1 species
AAUAGAUACCCGGGUAGUCCACGCCGUAAACGAUGGAUACUAGCUGUUUGUUCGCAAGGAUGAGUGGCUAAGCGAAAGUGAUAAGUAUCCCACCUGGGGAGUACGAACGCAAGUUUGAAACUCAAAGGAAUUGACGGGGGCCCGCACAAGCGGUGGAGCAUGUGGUUUAAUUCGAUGAUACGCGAGGAACCUUACCAGGGCUUAAAUGUAGUUUGACGUUAUUGGAAACAGUAAUUUCUUCGGACAAAUUACAAGGUGCUGCAUGGUUGUCGUCAGCUCGUGCCGUGAGGUGUCAGGUUAAGUCCUAUAACGAGCGCAACCCCUGUUGUUAGUUGCCAGCGAGUCAUGUCGGGAACUCUAACAAGACUGCCAGUGUAAACUGCGAGGAAGGUGGGGAUGACGUCAAAUCAUCACGGCCCUUACGUCCUGGGCCACACACGUGCUACAAUGGACGGUACAGAGAGCAGCCACUUAGCAAUAAGGAGCGAAUCUAUAAAACCGUUCUCAGUUCGGAUCGGAGUCUGCAACUCGACU